AGGACUUUCAAGUUUUGUACGAACCCUAAUAUAUGCUAGAAUGAGUGUUUAAAUUGUCGUAUGAUUCCUAGACCUACAAUCAUGGCAAAAAUUAUUAUUUCCCCCGCUUCCCCGUACAAUGUUGGUUAUGACAUUCUAUUUCACAAAGCUUUCACCCAACCAAAUUAUAAGCUUUCAACUUUGAACGGGGGGAGAAGAAGUUGAAAAUUGCUGUUGGAUGGAUAUAAUUGGGCAAGGCAGGUAUUUCUAUGCGCGCGCCAUCCACAAUAAUUUUUGCCAGGAUUGUAGAUCUUACUUGAAGUGCAUAUGACAUGAAAUUUCUUAUUUUCUUAAACGAAAGAACUCUUUAAGCUGCAGUGUAACUUAUUUUUCAGUUUUUGUUUUGAUGGUUUGUUCCAGAGAUAUUUCAAUUUGUUUGAUAUGUAAAUGAGUGUGAAUAUGUCCGCCAAUUUAUUGACGUCACGUUUGUUGCAAGCUCAACUUACACUGGUUAUAAAUCUAUUAACUCUAAAAACUGUAGAUAUUUAUUCACGUUUUUCCACAGUGUUUCAUCACAUUUACCAGUGAGUGAAGUUAGAAAUUAUUAUCUUGGAUGAUAGACGUGAUAUUCAACCAUUUUGAAGAGCUUGCAACCAACAUGACGUCAUAAAUUGGCGGACAUAUUCACACUCAUUUAGGCUACAUAUCAAACAAAUUGAAAUAUCUCGGGAACAAACCAUAAAAACAAGAAACUGAAAAAUAACUUACACUACAGCUUAAAGAGUUCUUUCAUUUAAGAAAAUAAGAAAUUUCAUGUCAUAUGCACUUUAAAUAUUCCUCUUAACUCUAAACAAUGUUAGGAGUCUGGAGUACGAGGAAAAUAAUUGCAAUUAAAUGGCGCAGAAAACGUGUUCCCCCUAUUUUGAACAAUUUUAUAUACCGAUUACAUGAAGGCUUUUCAGACCAGCCCGGGCUGAAUUUCAAUCGGGUUAACCGAGAUGUAAUUAGGCCGAAAUUAAAGGAUUUUAUAGAAAUUUAUAAGAAACAAGGCUGGGCUGAAGAUGCUAUGUAAUCGGCCACUUAUUAUUAACAGUUUUGUCCAGGAUUGCAGUUCUCGUCCCUACAAUCCAGAUUAAAGUUGUUAGUUCUUGUGUACACUAUCACGCGUUUAUUUCUACAUCUGAAUAGAGCGGAUUUGUUUUAAAGAUUUGAUGCAGUUCUGCAAACGUAGGACGUUUCUCAGACUGUAAAUCCCAACAUCUUAACAUAAGUUGAUACGUAUGUUCUGGACAUUUGUCUGGUUUUUCCAAUCUCUUUCCUUGGGUUUCCACCAUUUCCAUUACCU